GAUGAACGCUGGCGGCGUGCCUAAUACAUGCAAGUCGAGCGAACAGACGAGGAGCUUGCUCCUCUGCCGUUAGCGGCGGACGGGUGAGUAACACGUGGAUAACCUACCUAUAAGACUGGGAUAACUUCGGGAAACCGGAGCUAAUACCGGAUAAUAUAUUGAACCGCAUGGUUCAAUAGUGAAAGACGGUUUUGCUGUCACUUAUAGAUGGAUCCGCGCCGCAUUAGCUAGUUGGUAAGGUAACGGCUUACCAAGGCAACGAUGCGUAGCCGACCUGAGAGGGUGAUCGGCCACACUGGAACUGAGACACGGUCCAGACUCCUACGGGAGGCAGCAGUAGGGAAUCUUCCGCAAUGGGCGAAAGCCUGACGGAGCAACGCCGCGUGAGUGAUGAAGGUCUUCGGAUCGUAAAACUCUGUUAUUAGGGAAGAACAAAUGUGGAAGUAACUAUGCACGUCUUGACGGUACCUAAACAGAAAGCCACGGCUAACUACGUG
rnacentral:rRNA from 1 species